rnacentral:pre_miRNA from 1 species
AUGUAGGGUAAUCUCUGUAUUUCAAUAGGGAUAAAUUACUAUAAAAAUUGAUUCUAGAUAGUUUUCCCUUCAAGUUAAACAUUUUGU